rnacentral:lncRNA from 12 species
CAGUCUUGAGUGGAGUGCACAGCAAGAGAAGGUGUAUAGGUUGAGCCACUUUCCAAAAAUCAUUAACUCUUCUAGUAAGAGCUUAUAGGUUAUUAGUUUCCAUGAAGCUCCAAGUAUCCAUUACAGUUUAUGCCAUACAGAACCUACAAUAAGCCUCAGAAUUAGAGUGGACCUCGCCAUGGUUUUAUUCUCCUUUUAGGAAAUAGCUCUUGAUUAACAAGUGAGCCCUGAUAGAAAUAGAACAUCUGACCAUGGGAGCCAAGCUGCCAUUGAUGGUUGAUAUGUCUUUCGCUGACCCAUCAAUUGACCAACCAACAAGAUUCCAUCUUCAAGGAAGAAUACGAAGACUGGGUCUGAGCAGGGCUGAAGAAUCUGUGACUCAGAAAAAGAUAGUUCCUGGGGCCUUGGGUGGCUCAGUUGGCAUUCCACAGCCAAUAUUUGGACCUUGGGUCACAUGGAGUCCAUUUGGCCACAGAUGA